CACUCAUGCUAUCUGUCUCUAAAUAAACCUAAAAAAUAAAAUUACAAUUUUAUUUUUACGUUUAAAUCUUUAAUUCUUCUACAACUUGUGUGUAUGUGAUGAUUUAUAUCCUAAUGGCUAAACAGUUCUACCACCAAAGCUGGAUAGUUGAAGGCAUAGACAUGGACAGUGCCUGGAAUGAUUGCAUACUUAACAAAGGUUAGCUCUGAGGUGGUGGUGGUUAUAUGCAUAGAGUAGUGGGUUUUUUUUUUUUUAAUGUUUUAUUUACUAUUUAUUUUUGAGAGAGAGAGGGAGGCACAGAAUGUGAAGAAGACUCCAGGCUCUGAGCUAUCAGCACAGACCUAAUGUGGGCCUCGAGCUCGUGGACCGAGAGAUCGUAGCCUGAGCUGAAGUCGGACGCUUAACUGACUGAGCCACUUAGAUGUCUGUACAGUGAUGGUUUUAAAAUGGUGGUCAGGAUACUAAAAUCAGCCAGGCUGCUCCUCAAAAUGCAGAUUCCUUGAAACGCCCCCAGACCUACUGGACCAGAAUCUCUGAGAGCACAGCUGGUUUCUCAGAAACCAGGAAAUACAUUUGUGGCACAUACGACGGACAGAGGUUAACCCUGUUAACGUACGAACUGCUGAAGUAGCGACAGGAAAACCGCGUAGACGUGGUGGAUGCACAGGGGAUGCAGUGCCGUGCCUCGCAGAAGAGCAGUAACAGUGUGCACGACACCAGCGCCCCCAUUUGUGAGGAACUGAGUAAUUGGGGCCCUUUACACGUGUGUUCCGUAAUCUCCCCCGCUCUGCCUUGCUGGAAGCUUUGGAACUACCGAGGUUGAAAGGACUGUCGGCACAGAGGCGAUGGUGCCCGGACGUGAGCGUCUGACUCGCGGGCGCUGAAGCUGUCUGGAGUGUGGGUGCGUCUGCACACGUGACGUGCGUCGUGUGCCUGUGCCCUGGUUUCCCGGGGCUCCAGAGCGGCCACUACGCACUCCUGUGUUAGACCCCAGAGGGUUGUGAUGUCCUCAAGGCCACCAGUCAGAGUCGACAGGGCCGCGCUCCUCUGACGCUCUAGGGAGAACCCCUCGUUGCCUCUUCCUGGUUUCCUGGCCCCCCUUGGCCGCCCUUGGCCGCCCUUGGCUUCUAGCUUGGCCACCUCGGUACCACCUGCAUCUUCCUAGAUUCUCUCUGUGCCUGAGUGUUUCUCCGUCACUGGAUACAGGGCCUGUCCUAAUCCACUGUGACCUCAUCCUAAUGUGAUUCCAUCUGCAGACUCCACCUGAGGUUCUGCGUGGCCAUGAAUUUUGGGAGAUGCUGUUCGACCCAGUACAGUCCAUCCUCCACCUUCCCCCAUAAAUGUAUCUCUUUCCCACGUACAAAAUAAACUCAUCCCGUCCCAG